rnacentral:rRNA from 1 species
AGAGUUUGAUCAUGGCUCAGGAUGAACGCUAGCGGCAGGCUUAAUACAUGCAAGUCGAGGGGCAGCAUGGUGUAGCAAUACACUGAUGGCGACCGGCAAACGGGUGCGGAACACGUACACAACCUUCCUGUAACUGGGGAAUAACCCGGAGAAAUUCGGACUAAUACCCCAUAGUAUAAUAAAGUGGCAUCACUUGAUUA